GUUCCCUGGGCCUGUGCCCAGCUGCCACUAUUCCUGUCCCUCAGCAGAAAGGGCACCCAUGCAGGGCAAGGUCCUUUCCUCAUGUGGAAACUUGGAUUUUCCUUGGGGCCUGCAGGACGGACAGUUCCUUGCCUGGGUCCCAGUCUCAUGUGCAGAGCUCUUUAGCUCUGGCUGUCACUGUGUUUUGCCUUUGUUUCCUGUGUGUGCAGAUAGCUCAUUGUCUGAAGCCAAUACCCUUCAGGCUGAGGCUGUCUGAGUUGGGCUGGGAUCUGUCCCAUGUCCAGCAUGUCAUCUAAGCACACGGUAACUGAGGCUUGCCCCAUGGGAGGUGUUUUCCUGGUCACUACGGCAAUCUGAAUAUAGUUCUUAAACUCUGGCCACACAUAACAGAAAAAUAGCCAUUGUAGUCUGAGGACUGACUAUAUUUUGUGCUCUGAUUCUGCAUUGCCAGCUGACGGAGAAGACAUUGACAGAGCAAGCUGACACCACUAAUAAUAUCCCUGCGUAAGCGUGGAAGUGACCGUGCUAAUUUCAAGCUCCAUUAGAAACCAGCUUUGCCAGUGAGGGGAGGCACAAGGCUUGAAGGAUGGGUUAGGAGCCAGCUCUGAGGGAACAGCUGCAGCAGGCAGGAAAGUAAAAACCUCCCUUCUUAAUCAAACUGGGUGGAGAACAGAUGUUUUGGUUCUCUGGCGAUUCCAGGGGAGGCUCGUCCAGGCUGAACUAAAAUCAACAUUUUUUUGAAAAUUUCAGCUAGUUGAAAAGUCAAAAAAUGUCGAUUUGGUUCAAAGCUCAACAUAGUGUGUCGACUGGAUUCGCAGUGUAUCAUGUUGAUGUUGUUAGCAGUGUUGGUGUGUAGCUGUGUUGGUCCCAGGAUUAUGAGAGAGACGAAGUCGCUAAGGUAAUAUCUUUACUGGACCAACUCCUGGUGUGGAAGGCACCAGCUUUCAGACUACACGGGGCCCUUCUUCAGGUCUGUGGAAUGAAUUUUGAUCUUCCAUUUGCUUCUGGGCAUUUGACAAAAGUGGAGGAGGGACAGAUUGACAGAACACUGGUGGGGAGAGACCUUUCACCUGGUGAUUAGGGCAUUUACCUGAGCUGUGGGAGACCCUGAUUCAAUUCCCCGCCCCACCGGAUAUGAGGUGGAAAAGGGAUUUGCAGUUGGGCUAAGGGGACAAUCUGGUGUAGGGCUGCUUCAGUAUCUGCUGUUGAUGCUCUUUCACUUUGCAUCAGAUGAGUAGGGAUUGGAGCAGGGACCUAAGUCUGGGUGUCCCACGUUCUAGGUGAAGGCCCUAACCCCUAGACUGCAGAGUCCUUCUGUGGCCCAGUAGGGUGACCAGAUGUCCCGAUUUUAUAGGGACUGUCCCGAUUUUGGGGUAUUU